rnacentral:rRNA from 1 species
GCNAGUCGAGCGGUAAGGCCUUUCGGGGUACACGAGCGGCGAACGGGUGAGUAACACGUGGGUGAUCUGCCCUGCACUCUGGGAUAAGCUUGGGAAACUGGGUCUAAUACCGGAUAUGACCGCAUGCCGCAUGGUGUGUGGUGGAAAGAUUUAUCGGUGCAGGAUGGGCCCGCGGCCUAUCAGCUUGUUGGUGGGGUAAUGGCCUACCAAGGCGACGACGGGUAGCCGACCUGAGAGGGUGACCGGCCACACUGGGACUGAGACACGGCCCAGACUCCUACGGGAGGCAGCAGUGGGGAAUAUUGCACAAUGGGCGGAAGCCUGAUGCAGCGACGCCGCGUGAGGGAUGAAGGCCUUCGGGUUGUAAACCUCUUUCAGCAGGGACGAAGCGUGAGUGACGGUACCUGCAGAAGAAGCACCGGCUAACUACGUGCCAGCAGCCGCGGUAAUACGUAGGGUGCGAGCGUUGUCCGGAAUUACUGGGCGUAAAGAGUUCGUAGGCGGUUUGUCGCGUCGUUUGUGAAAACCCGGGGCUCAACUUCGGGCUUGCAGGCGAUACGGGCAGACUUGAGUGUUUCAGGGGAGACUGGAAUUCCUGGUGUAGCGGUGAAAUGCGCANAUAUCAGGAGGAACACCGGUGGCGAAGGCGGGUCUCUGGGAAACAACUGACGCUGANGAACGAAAGCGUGGGUAGCAAACAGGAUUANAUACCCUGGUAGUCCACGCCGUAAACGGUGGGCGC